rnacentral:rRNA from 1 species
CUGCGGAGGGAUCAUUACAGAGUUACCUAACUCCAAACCCAUGUGAACUUACUUAUGUUGCCUCGGCGGGAAAACCUACCCGGUAAUUACCCUGUAGUUACCCGGGAGCGAGCUACUCUGUAGCCCGCUGCAGGCCUACCCGCCGGUGGACAGUUAAACUCUUGUUUUACAGUGAAACUUCUGAUAUGUUAUACUUAAUAAGUUAAAACUUUCAACAACGGAUCUCUUGGUUCUGGCAUCGAUGAAGAACGCAGCGAAAUGCGAUAAGUAAUGUGAAUUGCAGAAUUCAGUGAAUCAUCGAAUCUUUGAACGCACAUUGCGCCCAUUAGUAUUCUAGUGGGCAUGCCUGUUCGAGCGUCAUUUCGACCAUCAAGCCCCAGUUGCUUGGUUUUGGGAGCCUAUCUCCAGGGAUAGCUCCUUAAAUAGAGUGGCGGAGUCGUGCUGACCCCAAGCGUAGUAAUUGUUUCUCGCUUUAGGUGCCGGUGCUGACGUCUUGCCGUGAAACCCCCUAAUUUUUUAAAGGUUGACCUCGGAUCAGGUAGGAAUACCCGCUGAACUUAAGCAUAUCAAUAAGCGGAGGAA